rnacentral:rRNA from 1 species
AGCUUGUUGGUGGGGUAAAGGCCUACCAAGGCGAUUACGGGUAGCCGGCCUGAGAGGGCGACCGGCCACACUGGGACUGAGACACGGCCCAGACUCCUGCGGGAGGCAGCAGUGGGGAAUCUUGCGCAAUGGGCGAAAGCCUGACGCAGCGACGCCGCGUGGGGGAUGACGGCCUUCGGGUUGUAAACUCCUUUUACCACUCACGCAGGCUCCCAGUUCUCUGGGGGUUGACGGUAGGUGGGGAAUAAGGACCGGCUAACUACGUGCCAGCAGCCGCGGUAAUACGUAGGGUCCGAGCGUUGUCCGGAAUUAUUGGGCGUAAAGAGCUCGUAGGCGGCGUGUCGCGUCUGCUGUGAAAGACCGGGGCUUAAGUCUGGUUCUGCAGUGGAUACGGGCAUGCUAGAGGUAGGUAGGGGAGACUGGAAUUCCUGGUGUAGCGGUGGAAUGCGCAGAUAUCAGGAGGAACACCGGUGGCGAAGGCGGGUCUGUGGGCCUUACCUGACGCUGAGGAGCGAAAGCAUGGGGAGCGAACAGGAUUAGAUACCCUGGUAGUCCAUGCCGUAAACGAUGGGCGCUAGGUGUGGGGACUUUCCACGGUUUCCGCGCCGUAGCUAACGCAUUAAGCGCCCCGCCUGGGGAGUACGGCCGCAAGGCUAAAACUCAAAGGAAUUGACGGGGGCCCGCACAAGCGGCGGAGCAUGUUGCUUAAUUCGACGCAACGCGAAGAACCUUACCAAGGUUUGACAUCAUCCGUGGACCUGCAGAGAUGUGGGGUCAUUUAGUUGGCGGGUGACAGGUGGUGCAUGGCUGUCGUCAGCUCGUGUCGUGAGAUGUUGGGUUAAGUCCCGCAACGAGCGCAACCCUUGUUCCAUGUUGCCAGCACGUAGUGGUGGGGACUCAUGGGAGACUGCCGGGGUCAACUCGGAGGAAGGUGGGGACGACGUCAAGUCAUCAUGCCCCUUAUGUCUUGGGCUGCAAACAUGCUACAAUGGCCGGUACAGUGGGCGUGCGAUGCCGUAAGGUGGAGCGAAUCCCUAAAAGCCGGUCUCAGUUCGGAUUGGGGUCUGCAACUCGCCCCCAUGAAGGUGGAGUCGCUAGUAAUCGCGGAUCAGCAACGCCGCGGUGAAUACGUUCCCGGGCCUCGUACACACCGCCCGUCACGUCAUGAAAGUCGGCAACACCCGAAACUUGCGGCCCAACCCCUUUGUGGGAGGGAGACAUG